rnacentral:rRNA from 1 species
GAUGAACGCUGGCGGCGUGCCUAACACAUGCAAGUCGAACGGAGUUACUUUGGUGAAGUUUUCGGAUGGAUCUGAUUUAACUUAGUGGCGGACGGGUGAGUACUGCGUGAGCAACCUGCCCUUCAGAGGGGGACAACAGUUGGAAACGACUGCUACUACCGCAUAAUGUAUUCGGAAGGCAUCUUCUGGAUACCAAAGGAGAAAUCCGCUGAAGGAUGGGCUCACGUCUGAUUAGUUAGUUGGUGAGGUAACGGCUCACCAAGACUGCGAUCAGUAGCCGGACUGAGAGGUUGAACGGCCACAUUGGGACUGAGAUACGGCCCAGACUCCUACGGGAGGCAGCAGUGGGGAAUAUUGGGCAAUGGGCGAAAGCCUGACCCAGCAACGCCGCGUGAAGGAAGAAGGCCUUCGGGUUGUAAACUUCUUUUAAGAGGGACGAAGAAGUGACGGUACCUCUUGAAUAAGCCACGGCUAACUACGUGCCAGCAGCCGCAGUAAUAC